AUCCUUCUUAAUCCGUGCCGAGAUUUAGUCAAACACUAGACCAGCAAGACCGAUGAGACUUCCAAGAUAAGUGAAGCA
rfam:Schistosoma haematobium scaffold510_6, whole genome shotgun sequence.